CUCACAUUGUCUUUGAUCCCUGUGGUCUAAAUGGCUGCAUUUUAUAGACUCAGAGGCAUUUAGUGUCUGUUAAGAAAAAAGAUAAUAACCUCCAAAUUCCUAUUGCCUUUUCCCAAAUUAUUUACAGAUUUCAGUUACUAACUGAAAAGAGGGCCUUCAUUCAAAUAUGAAUAAAGGAAGUGAUGUGGCAUUUACUCAACAUUUCAUUUUUUCUUCUUGGUUCUUUUUACUUUCCAGCUGUUCAGUGUCUUUUCUCUUAUGCCCAGACUAUAUACCAGCCUUACCAGUCUUGGCAGAGGAGAGAUGUCUGUCCCAAGAGGAAUAUUGGACUCUCUCCUGUCAUUUGCAUACAAUUCACCUACCCUAAGCUCUGUUUCCAAAGAUACUGGCCUUUCCAUGCUGAAAUGAUGGAGAGUGAAAAUAAGAUAUCAAAUGUUGGCAGCUAUCAGUCUACCUGCAGGGCAGCUGCUGAGACUUUACUGCCUGUAUAUGGACCCUGACUAUCCUCCAGCUCAUAUCAGGACACUUGAGGUAUGUCAAAUAGUGCUUACUCCGUUCCUCCCAAGGAAGAUACAGCUGCUCUGUGCACCACUAAUGAGAGAGAGGUGAGAAGGGAACAGUGUUCCAGUGUGCCCUUUACCUACUUUCAGGGAGAAGAAUAUAUUGAGUGGUAAGAAAUUCUCUAGUUUUUAAUUCAGCUCAAUCCAGUGCAGCAUUUCCCCUCAUUUUCUAUUGCUUUCCUCAUUUCUGGUAAAAUGGAAGUCUAAAUUUCCAAUGGCAUUGCUAUAAAUUCUGAGGCUUCUGGCAAAGCAUGAAGAGUCACCAUUGCCUUUAGAACCAUCUGAGGGGCUAUCAGAAAAAAUGAGUAUGUAGUUGUGAGCUUAGACACUGCAGAAGCUGUUUCAGCUGAGGUUGGCUUCGGUUUGUUCUGAUUGUGCUGUUACAGGUGGUGAGGACAAGGUGUUUGACUAAAAUUCAGUGGAUUCGUUUUCUUUGGCCUUGAGGAUACCCGAUCCUAUCCUGUCUUUUGUCUUUGCUUCCCUUGGUUGGUACAAGUCGAAGAUUACAACUUUGAUCUUGUUUGCCUGUCUGCUUUGUGAUGCAUAAUGGCUUACAUAUGUUAACAGAAUAUUUAUGAUAAAAGCACCUGGUUUCUCUAAGACUAGAAGGAAUGACUCAUUUCCCCCCUGAUUAGAGUGCAGAGUAAGGCACUCUUGUUUUAUUUUUGUUUAGCAGUAGUACUGCUAGUAUGACAAAUUUUAUAAGGUACUGUGUACCUGGCUAGAUGUCACAACUAUCACAAAUAACCAAUACUAAGAAUAAAAAAGUAAUUAAAACUAAAACCUUCCA
rnacentral:lncRNA from 1 species